AACAAGGCGUACCUGCGGACCUGCGGAGGGAUCAUUAACAAGCCGUGGGGAUCACCCUGAAAGGGGCAGAUUCCUCACCUGGCCAUCCUUGUUUACUUUAAUGCUGUUGCUUUGGUGAGCCUGCCAUCAGGCUGCCGGUGAAACUCAGUUUCCGGGUUCGUGUUCACCAAGCUUUUAACUAAAUCUGUAAAGUCUUGUUGUCUGAGUGGGAAAGCAAAUUUAGAAAAAACUUUCAACAAU
rnacentral:misc_RNA from 1 species